rnacentral:rRNA from 1 species
CAGCCGCCGCGGUAAUACGUAGGUGGCAAGCGUUGUCCGGAAUUAUUGGGCGUAAAGGGCUCGCAGGCGGUUUCUUAAGUCUGAUGUGAAAGCCCCCGGCUCAACCGGGGAGGGUCAUUGGAAACUGGGAAACUUGAGUGCAGAGGAGGAGAGUGGAAUUCCACGUGUAGCGGUGAAAUGCGUAGAGAUGUGGAGGAACACCAGUGGCGAAGGCGACUCUCUGGUCUGUAACUGACGCUGAGGAGCGAAAGCGUGGGGAGCGAACAGGAUUAGAUACCCGAGUAGUCCCUGUCUCUUAUAC